AUUGAACGCUGGCGGCAGGCCUAACACAUGCAAGUCGAGCGGAGCGGCGGACGGGUGAGUAAUGCCUAGGUAUCUGCCUGGUAGUGGGGGAUGACGUCCGCAAACGGGCGCUAAUACCGCCUACUAUCAGAUAAGCCUCGGUCGGAUUAGCUAGUUGGUGGGGUAGGGGCCUACCAAGGCGACGAUCCGGACCUGGUCUGAGUGGAUGAUCAGUCACACUGGAACUGAGACACGGUCCAGACUCCUACGGGAGGCAGCAGUGGGGAAUGUUGGACAAUGGGCGAAAGCCUGAUCCAGCCAGGCCGCGGGGGUGAAGAAGGUCUUCGGGGUGUAAAGGACUUUAAGUUGGGAGGCGUUACCUGCAGAAUAAGCACCGGCUAACUACGUGCCAGCAGCCGCGGUAAUUC
rnacentral:rRNA from 1 species